UUGAUUAGGACUUAUUAAGGAUUUUUUUAGGAUUUGACUAAGAUUUAAUUAGGAUUUACGUAGGAUUUAUUUAAGAUUUGAUUAAGAUUUUUUUAGGAUUUGAUUAGGAUUUGAUUAGGAUUUAACUAGGAUUUUAUUAGGAUUUUGUCUAGGAUUUGAUUAGAUCUUAUUUAGAAAUUGACUAGGAUUUUAUUAGGAUUUUGUCUAGGAUUUGAUUAGAUCUUAUUUAGAAAUUGACUAGGGUUUGACAAGGAUUUGAUUAAGGUUUG
rnacentral:lncRNA from 1 species